UACGAAGGGGGCUAGCGUUGUUCGGAAUUACUGGGCGUAAAGGGCGCGUAGGCGGGCCGCCAGGUCCGGGGUGAAAGCCUCCAGCUCAACUGGAGAAGUGCCUUGGAUACCGGCGGCCCCGAGGGAGGCAGGGGCGUGCGGAACUUCGGGUGGAGCGGUGAAAUGCGUAGAUAUCCGAAGGAACACCAAUGGCGAAAGCAGCUUUCUGGGACGGUACUGACGCUGAGACGCGAAAGCGUGGGGAGCGAACAGG
rnacentral:rRNA from 1 species